GUACAAGCAGUGGGAGCACCCUUUGGGGUGUGACUGCGUACCUUUUGUAUAAUGGGUCAGCGACUUAUAUUCUGUAGCAAGGUUAACCGUAUAGGGGAGCCGGAGGGAAACCGAGUCUUAACCGGGCGUUAAGUUGCAGGGUAUAGACCCGAAACCCGGUGAUCUAGCCAUGGGCAGGUUGAAGGUUGGGUAACACUAACUGGAGGACCGAACCGACUAAUGUUGAAAAAUUAGCGGAUGACCUGUGGCUGGGGGUGAAAGGCCAAUCAAACCGGGAGAUAGCUGGUUCUCCCCGAAAGCUAUUUAGGUAGCGCCUCGUGAAUUCAUCUCCGGGGGUAGAGCACUGUUUCGGCUAGGGGGCCAUCCCGGCUUACCAACCCGAUGCAAACUGCGAAUACCGGAGAAUGUUAUCACGGGAGACACACGGCGGGUGCUAACGUCCGUCGUGAAGAGGGAAACAACCCAGACCGCCAGCUAAGGUCCCAAAGUCAUGGUUAAGUGGGAAACGAUGUGGGAAGGCCCAGACAGCCAGGAUGUUGGCUUAGAAGCAGCCAUCAUUUAAAGAAAGCGUAAUAGCUCACUGGUCGAGUCGGCCUGCGCGGAAGAUGUAACGGGGCUAAACCAU
rnacentral:rRNA from 1 species